rnacentral:rRNA from 1 species
GAUGAACGCUGGCGGCGUGCCUAAUACAUGCAAGUCGAGCGAAUGGAUUAAGAGCUUGCUCUUAUGAAGUUAGCGGCGGACGGGUGAGUAACACGUGGGUAACCUGCCCAUAAGACUGGGAUAACUCCGGGAAACCGGGGCUAAUACCGGAUAACAUUUUGAACCGCAUGGUUCGAAAUUGAAAGGCGGCUUCGGCUGUCACUUAUGGAUGGACCCGCGUCGCAUUAGCUAGUUGGUGAGGUAACGGCUCACCAAGGCAACGAUGCGAAGCCGACCUGAGGGGGUGAUCGGCCACGGUGGGACUGAAACACGGCCCAGACUCCGACGGGAGGCAGCAUGAGGGAAUCUGCCGCAAUGGACGAAAGUCUGACGGAGCAACGCCGCGUGAGUGAUGAAGGCUUUCGGGUCGUAAAACUCUGUUGUUAGGGAAGAACAAGUGCUAGUUGAAUAAGCUGGCACCUUGACGGUACCUAACCAGAAAGCCACGGCUAACUACGUGCCAGCCGCCGCGGUAA